rnacentral:tRNA from 1 species
CUGUGGCUUAGUUGGCUAAAGCGCCGAUCUAGUGAAUACGAAGUCGUUGGUUCGAAUCCCACCAG